rnacentral:lncRNA from 1 species
CCUGCUUCCAAAAUUAGGGUGUCUGGAGAAUGCGAAACAAAAUUAUACAAAGGCCUGACCUCUGGCCUUGCUUCUGUCUCUCAGACUGUGAAGUACCCAAGAGGGAAAGUGUUGAAUUUGGCCUCACUUCACAUGGCAUUAACUGUAAUUCUUUGUGAAUUGUGGUGACAUCAUGGUAUACUUUGACAUCACUGCUCAGACUCCCUUCUGCUGCUGGGCAUACAGUACAUAGUUUUUGUUUAAACACAAGAGUCCUUUGUUGAGAAGACAGGAUAGCAGCUGGUAUUCUGCCCUGGUACAAAUGUGGAUCUUACUGGAAUG